rnacentral:misc_RNA from 1 species
GCAAGAACCCAUCAUCAAGAUUAGAAGUAAGAAAGAAAGAAAGAGCAAGAGGAGUGAAGUAGUCUCCUCUUGGGUCGAAUGGAAGGAUUAGAAGGGAUAAUACAGAGGUUGUUGGAAGGAAGGAAUAACAGAGGUAAACGCAUUCAGCUUACUGAGCCUGAAAUUCGAAACCUUUGUCUCGCUGCCAAGCAAGUCUUCCUCGCCCAGCCUGUUUUUCUUGAACUAGAAGCUCCCAUCAACAUCUGUGGAGACGUACACGGCCAAUAUCCAGAUCUCUUGCGACUGUUUGAAUAUGGUGGGUUUCCACCAGAUUCCAACUACCUCUUUCUUGGAGAUUAUGUGGAUAGAGGAAAACAAAGUAUAGAAACUAUAUGUCUUCUCCUAGCUUACAAGAUAAAGUUCCCAGACAACUUUUUCCUCCUCCGAGGGAAUCAUGAAUGUGCUUCUAUCAACAGAAUAUAUGGCUUUUAUGAUGAGUGCAAGCGCCGUUUCAGCAUCCGUCUGUGGAAAACUUUUACUGAAUGCUUCAAUUGUUUACCUGUAGCAGCAGUGGUCGAUUACAAAAUUCUAUGCAUGCAUGGUGGACUCUCACCAGAAAUGGACAGCUUGGAUCAGAUCAGAGCAAUAGAAAGGCCAGUGGAUGUGCCUGACCAGGGCCUUCUAUGUGAUCUCCUAUGGGCUGAUCCUGAUAAAGACAUCAAAGGAUGGGGUGAGAAUGAUAGGGGUAUCUCCUAUACCUUUGGAGUUGAUAAAGUAGCUGAAUUCUUGAAGAAACAUGAUCUUGAUCUCAUAUGCCGAGCUCACCAGGUAGUUGAAGAUGGAUAUGAAUUCUUUGCAGACAGACAGUUGGUUACUAUAUUCUCAGCACCAAACUACUGUGGAGAGUUUAACAAUGCAGGUGCACUCAUGUGCGUCAAUGAAAGUUUGCUCUGCUCAUUUCAGAUUCUCAAGCCCUGGAAAGGAAAAGCAGAACAACUGGAAUAGAUCCUGUGCGACAGGGAAGCACCUCUUCUCCACCAUAGUCAAAUUAGCUAGUGCUCUCUCUCUUUUGACAUGUACAAUAUUCAUCUUCCAAUUCAAAACAAGCCUCUGUAUCAUAGUUUACUUCAUGUGAUCGAGAUGAUUUUAGAAAGAAAGCUGUGUAGUGUAUAUAAUCCCUUAUAUGUGCAACUGUUUGUUUCAAAGGUACAAACCAAC